GACGACGUAGCUUAGCGGUUAGAGCUUUACAUUGCAGGCCACAGCAAUGGUUUGAGGCAGGGUUCGAGUCUCUGGCGUUGCCA